rnacentral:rRNA from 1 species
GAUGAACGCUGGCGGCGUGCUUAACACAUGCAAGUCGAGCGAGUGAGUUCUUUGGAACGAUCUAGCGGCGGACGGGUGAGUAACACGUGGGCAACCUGCCUCAUAGAGGGGAAUAGCCUCCCGAAAGGGAGAUUAAUACCGCAUAAAAUUAUCGAGUGGCAUCACAUGAUAAUCAAAGGAGCAAUCCGCUAUGAGAUGGGCCCGCGGCGCAUUAGCUAGUUGGUGAGGUAACGGCUCACCAAGGCGACGAUGCGUAGCCGACCUGAGAGGGUGAUCGGACACAUUGGGACUGGGACACGGCCCAGACUACUACGGGAGGCAGCAGUGGGGAAUAUUGCAAAAUGGGGGAAACCCUGAUGCAGCAACGCCGCGUGAGAGAUGAAGGUCUUCGGAUUGUAAAGCUCUGUCUUUGGGGACGAUAAUGACGGUACCCAAGGAGGAAGCCACGGCUAACUACGUGCCAGCCGCCGCAGUAA